rnacentral:rRNA from 1 species
UACGUAGGUGGCAGGCGUUGUCCGGAUUUACUGGGCGUAAAGAGCGCGCAGGCGGUCGAUUAAGUCGAAUGUGAAAGCCCCCGGCUCAACUGGGGAGGGUCAUUCGAUACUGAUCGACUUGAAGGCAGGAGAGAGAAGUGGAAUUCCCGGUGUAGUGGUGAAAUGCGUAGAUAUCGGGAGGAACACCAAUGGCGAAGGCACUCUACUGGGCCAUUACUGACACUGAGAGACGAAAGCUAGGGGAGCGAAUGGG